ACUGCUCAGUAACACGUGGGAUAACCUGCCCUUGGGUCCGGCAUAACCCCGGGAAACUGGGGAUAAUUCCGGAUAACGCACAUAUGCUGGAAUGCUUUUUGCGUAAAAUGGAUUCGUCUGCCCAAGGAUGGGUCUGCGGCCUAUCAGGUAGUAGUGGGUGUAAUGUACCUACUAGCCUACGACGGGUACGGGUUGUGAGAGCAAGAGCCCGGAGAUGGAUUCUGAGACAUGAAUCCAGGCCCUACGGGGCGCAGCAGGCGCGAAAACUUUACAAUGCGGGAAACCGUGAUAAGGGGACACCGAGUGCCAGCAUCCUAUGCUGGCUGUCCGGGUGUGUAAAAUACACCUGUUAGCAAGGGCCGGGCAAGACCGGUGCCAGCCGCCGCGGUAACACCGGCGGCCCGAGUGGUGAUCGUGAUUAUUGGGUCUAAAGGGUCCGUAGCCGGUUUGGUCAGUCCUCCGGGAAAUCUGACAGCUCAACUGUUAGGCUUUCGGAGGAUACUGCCAGACUUGGAACCGGGAGAGGUAAGAGGUACUACAGGGGUAGGAGUGAAAUCUUGUAAUCCCUGUGGGACCACCUGUGGCGAAGGCGUCUUACCAGAACGGGUUCGACGGUGAGGGACGAAAGCUGGGGGCACGAACCGGAUUAGAUACCCGGGUAGUCCCAGCCGUAAACGAUGCUCGCUAGGUGUCAGGCAUGGCGCGACCGUGUCUGGUGCCGCAGGGAAGCCGUGAAGCGAGCCACCUGGGAAGUACGGCCGCAAGGCUGAAACUUAAAGGAAUUGGCGGGGGAGCAC
rnacentral:rRNA from 1 species